AUGAAUAAUAUCCACUCUUUGAGGAUAAAGGAGCGUUUAAAAAAUGUACGGCGGCUCAAUGACUUUGUAUCACUGUGGUUGACUUUUGGUGGAGGAACCAGACUGAAUGUUGGAAGUGAUGUCCGUCCCACCCUGACGGUGCUGCCCCCCUCCAGUAAGGAGCUGCUGAAGGGGAAGGCCACGCUCAUGUGCCUGGCCAACAAGGGCUUCCCCUCAGACUGGAGUCUGGCCUGGAAGGUGGACGGCAGCAGCAGCAGCAGCAGCAGCAGCUGGGAGGAGAGCAGGAGCCCCGGGGUGCUGGAGAAGGACGGCAAAUACAGCUGGAGCAGCACCCUGAGGCUCCCUGCAGACCAGUGGGAGAAGGUGGGCUCUGUGACCUGUGAGGCCACCCAGGGCUCCCAGACUCCACUCUCAGAGACACUGAGGAGAGACCAGUGUUCCCAGUCCUGACCU